UUAAUUGAAUUGAGCCUUGGUAUGGAAACCCACUAAGUGCUAACUUUCAAAUUCAGAGAAACCCUGGAAUUAAUAAAAAGGGGCAAUCCUGAGCCAAAUCCUGUUUUCCGAAACCAAAGGUUCAGAAAGUGAAAAAGGGAUAGGUGCAGAGACUCGAUGGAAGUUGUUCUAACAAAUGGAGUUGGCUGCGUUAGUAAAGAAAUCUUUCCAUCGAAAAUUCCGAAAGGAUAAAACAAACGUAUACGUAUUCAAUACUAUAUCAAAUGAUUAAUGACGACUCGACUGAAUCCGUAUUUUUUAUAUGAAAACGGAAGAGUUGGUGUGAAUAGAUUCCACAUUGAAGAAAGAAUCGAAUAUUCAUUGAUUAAAUGAUUCACUCCAUAGUCUGAUAGAUCUUUUCAAGAAUUGAUUAAUCGGACGAGAAUAAAGAUAGAGUCCCGUUCUACAUGUCAAUGUCGGCAACAAUGAAAUUUAUAGUAAGAGGAAAAUCCGUCGACUUUAAAAAUCGUGNNGGUUCAAGUCCCUCUAUCCCCAAAAAGCAUAUUUGACCCUCCAACUAUUUAUCCUAUCUCCCUUUUCAUUAGCGGUUCAAAAUACCUUAUUCAUUUACUCUAUUCUCUUAGAAAUCGAUCUGGACGAAAAAGCCCUUUUCUUAUCACAAAUGUUGUGUUAUUUAUGAUAUAAACAUCUUUAGAAAUCCCCAUUUGAAUGCUUUACAAUCGAUAUAACUACUCAUCCUGAAACUUACAAAGUACUGAUCCAAGCAAUUCUAGUACCUAGAUAAAACUUUGUAAUCCCUUUUCCUUCUUUUAAUUGACAUAGCCCACUUUUUCUCAUAAAAUGAGUAUGCUACAUUGGGGCUGGUCGGGAUAGCUCAGCUGGUAGAGCAGAGGACUGAAAAUCCUCGUGUC
rnacentral:misc_RNA from 1 species